GAUGAACGCUGGCGGCGUGCCUAAUACAUGCAAGUCGAGCGAACAGACGAGGAGCUUGCUCCUUUGACGUUAGCGGCGGACGGGUGAGUAACACGUAGGUAACCUACCUAUAAGACUGGGAUAACUUCGGGAAACCGGAGCUAAUACCGGAUAAUAUUUCGAACCGCAUGGUUCGAUAGUGAAAGAUGGCUUUGCUAUCACUUAUAGAUGGACCUGCGCCGUAUUAGCUAGUUGGUAAGGUAACGGCUUACCAAGGCAACGAUACGUAGCCGACCUGAGAGGGUGAUCGGCCACACUGGAACUGAGACACGGUCCAGACUCCUACGGGAGGCAGCAGUAGGGAAUCUUCCGCAAUGGGCGAAAGCCUGACGGAGCAACGCCGCGUGAGUGAUGAAGGUCUUCGGAUCGUAAAACUCUGUUAUUAGGGAAGAACAAACGUGUAAGUAACUGUGUACGUCUUGACGGUACCUAAUCAGAAAGCCACGGCUAACUACGUG
rnacentral:rRNA from 1 species